UGGGGAAUAUUGCACAAUGGGGGAAACCCUGAUGCAGCAACGCCGCGUGCGGGAUGACGGCCUUCGGGUUGUAAACCGCUUUCAGCCAUGACGAAGCUUUUGUGACGGUAGUGGCAGAAGAAGCACCGGCUAACUACGUGCCAGCAGCCGCGGUGAUACGUAGGGUGCGAGCGUUGUCCGGAAUUAUUGGGCGUAAAGAGCUUGUAGGCGGUUUGUCGCGUCGAAAGUGUAAACUCAGUGCUUAACGCUGAGCCUGCUUUCGAUACGGGCUGACUAGAGGAAGGUAGGGGAGAAUGGAAUUCCCGGUGGAGCGGUGGAAUGCGCAGAUAUCGGGAGGAGCACCAGUGGCGAAGGCGGUUCUCUGGACCUUUCCUGACGCUGAGAAGCGAAAGCGUGGGUAGCAAACAGG
rnacentral:rRNA from 1 species